rnacentral:rRNA from 1 species
CACCGCGGUUAAACGAGGGGCCCAAGUUGACAGACAACGGCGUAAAGAGUGGUUAGGGACUACAACAAACUAAAGCUGAAGGCUCUCGCAACUGUUAUACGUAUUCGAGAGUCCGAAACCCAACUACGAAAGUGGCUUUACAAAACCUGAUCCCACGAAAGCUAAGAAA